ACGCAGCCCACCUCUCCCGACGAUCCGGGUCCUCCCGCCCUUCGCGGUGAUUCUGUCGCGAACCCUCUCACGGCAGCUAUGAGACUGCUGCGCUCCCCAGACGAGGAAACCUGGUCUCCCGGAGCCAGGUGGAGUCUCGCUCUGUCGCCCAGGCUGGAGUGCGGUGGCGCGAUCUCGGCUCACUGCAAGCUCCGCCUCCCGGGUUCACGCCAUUCUCCUGCCUCAGCCUCCCGAGUAGCUGGGACUACAGGUGCCCGCCACCGCGCCCGGCUAAUUUUUUGUAUUUUUAGUAGAGACGGGGUUUCACCAAGUUAGCCAGGAUGGUGUCGAUCUCCUGACCUCGUGAUCCGCCCGCCUCGGCCUCCUACAGUGCUGGGAUUACAAGCAGUCUUGCUCUGUCGCCCAGGCUGGAGUGCAGUGGCGCGAUCUCGGCUCACUACAACCUCUGCCUCCCAGGUUCAAGUGAUUCUCCUGCCUCAGCCUCCUGAGUAGCUGGGAUUACAGAAUUUUUCCUUAAAAGUGGGGCAACAGAAAUUAUUUCCUGUCCAGCGUCCUAUUUCAAGGAACCUGGUGCGUUUCUACUCAUCGAAGCUGGUCUCUCUAGCAGGAUGCAAUCUGGCUGCUUCGUCCUGCUUUAAAGCAACUUUAAUUUACUUGAUUAAAAGUAUGCCUAUGCUCAGCACGUCUCACAAAGUCAGGGAGAGACAUUCAUGAAGAGUUUCCCUUUGAAAUAAAAUAUUCAGAUUUUGUUUCCC
ensembl:lncRNA novel transcript